CAGGAGACAUCUUUGGUGCUCUGCUCGUUCACGUGGUCAGUGUCUAAGGGAGGAUAUGUGGAGCCAACAGCCACAGUCUAGGGCAUCCAGGUUUAUCCCCAGCUGGAGAAAAGAUACCUAACAAACAUAGCUGCUCUUGCAGGACCACUGCGUGCAGAAGAUAAAUGUCAUCAAGCUCCCAUCUAUUUAUAUGUGCCAUGAAGUUGGAAGCAAGAAAAU
rnacentral:lncRNA from 1 species